UUGCUGUGAGUUUUGGGAUGCUGUGUGUUCUACAAGUCACUCUCAACAUCUCCCUGAGACCAGUCUAUAACAGAGGCAUCACCAAAGUGACUGCAGAGAGAGACCAGCUACAGACCAGUUACAACAACCUGACUAAAGAGAGAGACCAGCUACAGACCAGUUACAACAACCUGACUAAAGAGAGAGACCAGAUACAAAAGGAGAGAGAUGAUCUCAAGAGAAAGUUCUCUAAUCUGAAACAAACCUAUCCUGAAGGCUGGCAGAAGUUUGGAUCCAGUUGGUACUUCAUCUCUACUGAGACUAAAACCUGGAGGGAGAGCAGACAGGACUGUCUGGAGAGAGGAGCAG